UGGUCGGUUGAAACAAAUUUGUCACUAGGGUUUGAUGGGUGUGAUGAUGAAGAAGUUAUGAAUUGCAAGAGGCAGAAGAAGGUAGUUUGGCCGCUUUUCAUGCAUUCAAUGGAAGAUCACGUGGAUCUGGAGCUGAGGUUAGCUAGGUGAUCAAUAUAUCGACAAGGUAAGUAAAUCAAUUAAUCCACGCAUGCUUGAUUAGACGACAAGUUAACGAAAGCAAAAUUCGUCAAUCCAGAACCUUUUGUUGUUUCUUAUGGUAACGAAACUUCUUGUCAAUUACUUUGAUUAUUAGAAUGAAGAAGCUAAUGAAACGCGCUGUAUUCUUCAAACAUCAUCUUAAUUCUUCAAUUAAGGUUUCAUGUUUAUCUCCAAUACUUUUGACACUUAUGAUCAAGCUUGAAACGUCAUACAUAUAUACAUGCAUGUGCGAUUGCAAUACCAUCCAUAAUAUUCUUUUUCAUGUAAUUAAUUCACAUGUUUAUCGACUCGUAUAUACCUUUAUGAUCCAAUCAAGAUUGAAAGCAUCGUUACAACGUAAAAGUAUUUUGUCCUUGUAUAAGACUGUCACCAGACAUUUAAAUUGUAUAUUACUAAUUUGGGUCAUGCAAAAAUAUUCAGACCUUCAAACAAGAUUAUGUUCCCAAUAAUAGUUAUUUGUCUGUUAUUAAUUAAUCGCUAGAAAUUAUUUGUAACCUUGAUUUUCCUUUAGUUAAAUUUAAUUAGCUUUACUUUACUAAGAAAUAGUUUAUGUAUUCCAUUAUCAUUCAUAUAAUCUUCUUAAACUAAAUGUCAAAUCAAACAUUAGCUUUUAAAAAAAAAGUUAUUGUAUAAAUGGUAUGCUUAAUUAUGUACCUGUGUAAUUAUCUAAAUUUUCAUUAGAUGCCAUCAUAAAGCUACAAUUUAGACCAUGAUUAUAAUACCAAAAAUAAGAUAUGCACUAUAAGCUUAUUUCGCAUAAAUGGUAGUCUGAAUAGGUUGAGCUCCGGCCAGGACAUCUUGUCAGCAUAGGGUUUCCGAGUCGUUAUUUUAAAAAUAUAUUUUUUGUAUUUUUUAUUAUUAACGAUUCAUGGUCGUUUGUAGGUACAUUUUAUAUAUAUUCAUUAUUAAAUUGAAUCAUUAUUUGAAAAUUUGACAUUCAAAGUAGAUGUUAUUGUCUUUUUCAUAUAUUUUUUGAUAUACUAUUAAACAAAAAAUAUACACGAUAAAAUGAUUCAUUUUUUAUUUAUAAAAUUAGACAUGUUGAUCAAAAGUCAAGUAACAUUAAUUGCUCAAAAAAUUAAAAAUAUUGCAUAUUACUCCUCCGUCCCAAUAUUAUUGUUCGCAGACAAAAAACACACAAAUUAAUAAAAGCAUUAAUUACCACCAACUUUAUUUAAUAAAAUGACAGUUUUGUCCUUAUUUUGCAUUUAAUGUUCCAUUAAAUGUUUAGUUGGUUAACUAAUAAUGAGGGGGUAUUUUGGUAAAAAUGUUAUUUAUUUUAGAAGUUGACUAUUAUUUUGGGACAAACCAAAAAUGAAAGAUGAACUAUAAUUUUAGGACGGAGGGAGUAAUAGGAAAACAUAAGAUAGUUAAAUAUUAAUCACUAGCUAGAUGACAUUGAUUAUCAAAGUUCUGAUGAAGCACAUGCUUUUUUUUGAGAUUUACGCAACCACCUCUUGGCCAUCCGAUCUACCUUGAGUACUUACGAUUAUACGAAAGGUGUAUCAUUUUGCAAAGUGCCUGCCAUUUGCCACCAUAUAGUUUUCACUGAAUGCAAGAUUUGUAAUCUUUUAUGGAAGGUCGAUCGAGUGCAACUUUAGACGUAUUUCAUAUGACAUUAAUUCGCUGAAAUUCCCCUGAUCAUCACGAUAACUUUGUUUUCUAUCUUAUUAUUUUUGUUGUGGGAUUGCUGUUUAUGGGUUUACAGUUAUUAAACAAUGUUGUGGUAUCACUACAAGAAACGUUAAUAUUUGCGGCGACAAGUGCAACUUUAGACGUAUUUCAUAUGUCAUUCUUUGAAAUUCCCCUCGAGAUAUGUCCCCGCUAAAAGCCUGAUAUGUCCCCGCAAAUGUCUUUAGCAGCGACGCGUUACCACUAAUAGGUCGCCGAUGUCGUUUCGCUGCAAAUGCUUCAUAUGUCGCCGCAAAUACAUUGUUGUCGCUAAUGUCUGUCAUCGCUGUUAAAACCUAGUCACCACUAAUACACGUCCGUCGUCACUAAAGAUGUCACCGCUAAUUGUAUUUUCAUUUUUUUAAUAUUUAACAUUAAAAUUAAAAAAUAUAAUAGGAAACAUUAUUUUGCAGAUCAAUAUAUAUGAUUUUACGGUAUAUUUUGGAUUCUUAACCUUUCUUAGAUUUGUUCUUAUGUAUAAUGUAGGGCAAUUUAUAUGAACCAUCCGAAACACAUGGAAGAAAGGUCAAUUGCACAAAAUUUCAUUAUGUUAUUUUGGGGUUCAAUCAUGCACACAAACACAAAUGAAUACCUAUAUUUCACUUUUUAAUAGCAAUUUACUUAUUCCUUUCAUAAUUUUAUAUAAAUAUGUCGAUUUUUAUUUAGUUAAUAUGUGUAUUCAGAAUUAAGUAAUAUAUUUGAUUUCUUUCAA